GAGUUUGAAUCUGGCUCAGGACGAACGCUGGCGGCGUGCCUAAUACAUGCAAGUUGAGCGCUGAAGGUUGGUACUUGUACCGACUGGAUGAGCAGCGAACGGGUGAGUAACGCGUGGGGAAUCUGCCUUUGAGCGGGGGACAACAUUUGGAAACGAAUGCUAAUACCGCAUAAAAACUUUAAACACAAGUUUUAAGUUUGAAAGAUGCAAUUGCAUCACUCAAAGAUGAUCCCGCGUUGUAUUAGCUAGUUGGUGAGGUAAAGGCUCACCAAGGCGAUGAUACAUAGCCGACCU
rnacentral:rRNA from 1 species